rnacentral:rRNA from 1 species
GGGAGUACGACCGCAAGGUUAAAACUCAAAUGAAUUGACGGGGACCCGCACAAGUAGUGGAGCAUGUGGUUUAAUUUGAAGAUACGCGCAGAACCUUACCAACACUUGACAUGUUCGUCGCGACUCUAAGAGAUUAGAGUUUUCGGUUCGGCCGGACGAAACACAGGUGCUGCAUGGCUGUCGUCAGCUCGUGUCGUGAGAUGUUGGGUUAAGUCCCGCAACGAGCGCAACCCUCACUUUUAGUUGCCAUCAUUAAGUUGGGCACUCUGAAAGAACUGCCAGUGAUAAGCUGGAGGAAGGUGGGGAUGACGUCAAGUCCUCAUGGCCCUUACGUGUUGGGCUACACACGUGCUACAAUGGUAUCUACAACAGGAAGCAAGACUGCGAAGUUAAGCAAAUCCCUAAAAGAUACCUCAGUUCGGAUUGCACUCUGCAACUCGAGUGCAUGAAGCUGGAAUUACUAGUAAUCGUGGAUCAGCGUGCCACGGUGAAUGCGUUCCCGGGUCUUGUACACACCGCCCGUCACACCAUGGGAGUUGGUUCUACCUUAAGGCAAGGUUUCAAACCCUUGACCACGGUAUAGUCAGCGACUGGGGUG